GAUAGUGUUUUUCAAAAAAAAUUAAAAACAUGAGGUUAAAAUGUGAAAAAGAGAAACUCGGCCACGUGGGACGGCCCAGUCAGCAACCACGGCGAACCAAAGUAUGCUGUGUGGGAAAACACGCUGACAUCGAUGCCACGCGGGAGGCCACGUGGGUGAUCCAAAUGCCUAGCGAUCUGACGGCCUAGAUUUAAUCACGCAUGUGUGAACGACUCAGAUGCAUUCCUUCUUUAGGCAUGAUCGGACGGACGAGAUCAAUCGCGAUGAACGGUCCAGAUUCACUCACGUAAUCAGCCUAUAUAGGCAACGAUCGGACGACCCUCCUCGCCCUGUGUCGACGCGAAUGGACGGUCCAGAUCGAUACGGGAUAAGUAUAUCAACAUCGUGUCACAAGAGAACCCUAACCCUAGCUGCACCUGCCCUGUCGGAGAAGAAAGACCAGCUGCUGGAGAAGGAGAUCAAUCCCCGACCACUACCGUACCGAAACCACCACCGAU
rnacentral:lncRNA from 1 species